rnacentral:lncRNA from 1 species
CUAGGAUUCUGCUUCAACACUUCCCCAUCUGAAGGACAUCUUCAAUUCGGCCUUGAUGAGCCACGAGUGGUAAAUAAGAGAUUCCUCCCUCAGGGGCUGGACAAUGAAGGAAAAGGCAGCCACAAGAUCCAUGUGCAGAUUCACACAGCAAAGUUCUGCCGUGUUUCAAACGGAAUACAGCUUAGCAGCUGCAGGGAAGAAAACCUAUUUUUAAUCACUGAGAAGCGUGGACACCGAUAGGAGCAGAAACCUCGGAUAUUGCUGGGUUCAGGAGCAGAGGGAAUACGGUAGACAGGACGGGGUCAGGUUCAGGUCAACCGAACACCGCAACAGUCACCCUUCAAUGGCCCUUUUGGCUCCGAAUGUAGCCACCUACCCUGAAAGCUUGGGCGCCCUUGAGACAGUCGGAGCCCUGUCAUUAACUCGCUGUGUGACCUUGGGAAGUAUUCUCUCUUCAUGCUUCUACAUCUGUAUUAAGACAGGUGAGAAAAUUCAAAAUUCAGGGCCUGUGUCCUUGGAACCCUGUUACUGGGCACGUGGGCACACCUUCACUGUUCUUGCCUCUCUCUUCUCAAUCCACCCUGAACUGAACACCUGCAACCGUAUCUGGCGAACUCUGGCCAUAGAGAUCCAGUCUGGACACCCUGGCAAUCACAGGCGGCAAGGCUUUUGUUCUAGGCUGCUUCUCAUGGUACAUUAGAAUUCAGUUUAAAGCCCGCCCUGCCCCCACACCCCUUGCGGAAAGGAGAGGCGAUGACAGCUUCAGAUGGUUCUAGCAGGUCCUCCCUCGCUCAACAGCUGCGAGCUCUACCCUAUAGUGUGACCCUGAGUCACUUGGGCC